AAUUUUCUAAAAUCCGUAGACCUUUCGAGGUCACAAUUUAUAUUUUUGAAUAGAGCUCGAUCACACGAACGUGUAAGUGCAAAUCGUUCGUGAAAUAGAGUUAUAAUGAAAGAGUUAUUAACGUUUAAAUUUAGGGACAUGCUUGUAAUUUGGUUCUCAUUUAGAAGGGUAAGGAGAAGGGUAAGGAGAGAGAUGAACGGAGGAAAAGAAAAGAAAAUAAGGAAAGGGGAGAGGGCUCAGCGAAUGAGAGGAAGGGAGAAAGGAAAGGGAUCAAUGAGAAGAAAGAGUAAGCUGAGAAAUGAGAGGGGGGAGAAGCACCCAACAUGACCCCCCUUCCUUGUGACCCGAUAAACCGGCGGUGACCCGGUUUGAUUCUGACCAAUUUCCACCAUUUUUCAAUCAGAAUUCACCCAUCCACCACCUGUAACCUACUCCAUGACCCCUCAUUUUCCAUCACCCAAAUUCGAGGGCUUUGAGGUCCAAAAUUCGUGACGGAAGACGCUAGGUUCGCGGGAAGGCUCGACGGCGAUCUUGCCGUUCCGGCGAGUUGCACCACCCACCACCACCCUUAAUCAACUCCCCUUAGACCCAGGAACAAGACCUAACCAGUUGUAGGGACAUCGGAACACUGAGGAACUAUCUAGGGUUUCCAACGGGAUUGAGUGAAAUUGGGGCCUUUCCCUGCCAAAUUGGCCUUGGUCACAGGUAUGAAACUUGCUCCACUCAUUGAGAUCUACAUUUCUGUUAAAUUUGGUAAUUUUUGGAGUUAGUCUGAAAAUUGGGUUUCCGUUUGCCAGAAACCGCCACUUAUGGUGGUGCGUGGCUAGUGAGCCGACGAUGACUUUCUAAGUUCAAAUAGAUGUCCUGAUUUUGUAUUUGAUAUUCGUAUGACGUGGUUUGAUCGUUUGAACCUAAUUUUACUAUGAUGCAUUACUUGCUCAAAACAUGAAUCAACGAUCCGACCAUUGGAUCGUCACCAAACUUUAAUACGUUAUAAUACGUAAUAUUUGAGGAUGUUAGGAAAUGACAGAUCUUCCCAAAUUGGAUUUCUAAGUUAGUUAAAAAAAAUUGUUAACCGCUACCUAAUUCUUGCAAUUGGCGGAUAUCCGACCGUCGAAUCAUGAUGAGAAUUUAGUAUGUCGUUCUAUGAGCAUAUGAAGACCUUAGGAAGUUACGGAUUUGAAAUUCGAUGUUUAGAUCUUCCAGAUCACAUUACAUAAGGUUGUGGACCCUACUGUUGACCGAGAGUUGACUUUGCCUCUCAUACAGAUAGUUAGGGGCAAUUGUGGGACCAUGAUUUUUCAGGGCUGGAGUAAGGCUAAUCUGAAUACUGUCACCUCUGAAGUCCGGUCAUGGACUUUAUCAGAUGGAGCAUGGUGCCACCAUUACUCUACUCCGGGGUAAUAAGCCCAAUCUUAGUGACCUAGCUGGAUGGCCGUGCUUAUUUCAUAAGACAUGCGAAUUGAUCUGGAUAUGGACACAAUCAGGUCCUAUAAGUCUUGGAGUCUCUACAAUCUAAGGAUUGGCGUGCGUCACAAAUAAUUACACUCCUAAGAGGACGCAAUAUCUACUUACUAGAUAUCCUCUAGGAUUCUCCCGGUUUAGAACAAAGAUUCUAUCCUGAAAAUGUCUCUCUCCCCAUGGUAUAAAUACACCCUCUAAAGUUUCAUUUAUGAUAACGCAAUCUAUACACUUAAACUCUUCUACCCACUGCUUGAGUCUAAAUCAUUCACUAACUUAACCGUCGAAGGCCUCACCCCCGGUCUAAGGUUUGAUUACGGUUGUUUUACUGUUUUGCAAGUUUCUAAGGUUACUCGGAUUUGUGCUCAACCAGCACUCACGGAGGUGUGCAGAUUUGGUUCCAACACACCUCAUUACUAUUGUUGAGAAUGAAUAUUACAUUGAUGAAAGGAUGACCUUGCAUAUGCUUUUUAAGUAGUUGGGCUACUCCCCAUAUUGCCAAUUAGUUUUAUAUAUGGUGAAACCUCAACUUCUUCAUGCUAUUAAAGCAAGUUGUCCUAUGUGUGAAACCCAAUAAUCUCACUUGUUCCACGUCACCCAAGUUGUGUUGUACACGUGUUAGGCUUGAAAAUUUGUCACAAAUAAGGGGCGUGUUGAAAAUGAAUCCCAAAUUGAUAAGAUGACGGAACUUGCAUGUGCUUAUAAUGAGUUGGGCUACUCCUCAUAUUACCAAGGAUUUCAAUUGCACGGUUUAAAUGAACAGUGUUUUUGGGUGGAUUUCAACUUAUUUACAAAUCUGCCACAGGCGCUAAUCUUGAUGCACACGUGUUGAUAAUUGUGGGAAGGAAAGAAGGAUGGUAAGCCGGCCUUUUCCAUAUCCUUCUCAAACCCUCUUUUGCCUCCUCCAUUUCGCAGACCCCGCGAGAACGACGCAGACGGUCUCGCCUCCGUCCUAUCCCUCCUCUCGCCGCCGUCUCCCUUCUCUCGCCUCCGUCGUCUUACUCCUCCUUUCUCACCGUCGCCUCCGUCCUAUCCCUCCUCUCGCCGCCGUCUCCCUUCUCUCGCCUCCGUCGUCUUACUCCUCCUUUCUCUGUCUAUGGAAUCGAUCGAUCUAUUCGAAGAGGAUCGACAUUUCUGAAAUGGUGUUUAGAUAGGUAGGGGUUGUGCGUGGUGCGGUCAUGCUGAUGAUCGUGGAAGCCAUCGAUUCUUCUUCUACGACAUAGCAUCGACUCUGCUUCCAUCUCCAUUUUCUCUCCUCGCCUUCACUCUCAGAAAUCACCAACCACAGCACUGUGUUGCUCAAAAACCACCAAGCCGUUAGAAAUCUCUUCGAUUCUCUCCCAGAAACUACGAAGCACAACGACCUCUUGCUGAAAAACCGUGAAUUUGGUCCCAAUUCAAAGGAAAUUUUAAGCCCAGAAAAGCCUUGGUUUCCUGGUGAGUUCUCCGGUCGAUUUGGGUUUAUUUUGGGGGUUUACACUAGAAUUGAGGAAGCACAUAUGAACGCAAAGCUAGAGUGUCUGCAGUUUAGGUCCCCCCCGCGGCGGCCCUCAUUUUAGAGGGAGUACUGAUGUACUGAUUUUCUGGGAUUUUUUUUGUCCUUGCAGGAUUUUUGGUCUUUGAAGUGGGUUUCCACCCCACAUUUCACAAGUUCAAAUUCCAGAGAAGUCGGUUCUGCAGAUUGCGUCUGCAAUUAGAUCAGAGAUCAACCGCUCUUUUGUUAUCCUGAGGAAGAUUGCUUUUGGGAAUGAUCUGAAGCAGUUCCUCUCUGUAUGUUUACUCUGUGGAUAUGAGAAACAAAGAGGAUGACACUUAUAACUGCCCCUCCCCAUCCGCCGUCUUCAAAUUUGGAUCACACUUAGAUAUGGUGUUGUGAUGUUUUGAAUGAAGGGUGAUGAAAGGUGGUUGACACACUUCCUCCUUCCUUAGAGCAAGUGGAGAUGAUGGUUUGUAUAAAAAGAAAAACUUGCUAGUUGGCUUCAUUUCCUUCCAGUAACUCUCUAAAUAGGUCCAGGAACUCACUAAUUAGGUAGUCAAGAAGAAUUCAGUGUUGCCGUCAUUUUUUGCCUGCUGUUUCCUCUCUUACUGGAUGCACUCUCAUCGCUUCUCUCGCUUACCACUUUUCUCUCACUCACCGCUUCAUCUCUUCUGUUGCUUACAAGGUGAAUGGAGAGAUUUACAACCAUGAAGAGCUGAGGAGCCGUUUGCCAAAUCAGAUUUAUAAGGUCUGAUCAAUUAUAAAUGAAAUGAACUUUCAUUCCGAAUGGCCUUCUUUAUUGUUUUUCUUAACGGGCUAGCUGAACAUGAGGUGGAUGCUGACUUUAUCAAAUAUGAGAAUGUUUUAGGAUUUUAUUCUUAUUUUUUGCCUGUUUGAUUACUUUGCUUUUCGUAAUCUGUUUUGUUUAUCGUCAAUUGGAUGAGACAACAUAUUUUUGUAACCAGUUUGUACUUUUACCAUCUCGGUUUUGAUGGAAUUGGUGCUUUCAGUAAUGGGUUCUGAGGGACUUGGAGUUUUUGAGUAA